rnacentral:tRNA from 1 species
GCAGGGGUCGCCCAGCCUGGUCAACGGCGUCGGGUUUAGGUCCCGAUCCUUCAGAGGUUCGUGGGUUCAAAUCCCACCCCCUGCA